AAACUGCGAUAACUAAUGUGAAUUGCAGACCUGCUUGUGACUCAUUGAAAUUUUGAACGCACUGCGCCCGGGGGCAACCGUCGGGCACACCAGGUUGAGUGACACCACAUUACCCUUGCAACCUCUUCUACAGGAAGAAGGAGGCAGAUUUGAGGAUGUAGCUUCUUCAUCUGAGGUUACUUCCUUUCAAAGCAUCUUGACUGUCGAUCUGUUUGGGAUGGAAGGGCGAAAGUCCAGUGCAGAGGGUCUUCAAAAGCCCAAUAAUCUGGUCCAGUAGCCCCAACACCGCAGGACUUCAGCAACUACAGAUACCGACCAGGAAGCCAUCUGGUCAAUUUAACAAAGUGUGUCCUCAGCUCUGGUGGGACUACCCGCUGAACUUAA
rnacentral:misc_RNA from 1 species